GGAGAUGUGAUCAGGGUUGCUGAACCUACACUGGAUUGGAAGGUGGUGAUGAGCACAAGAGUUCUAAGAAAGGCAGUAAAUGAUAAGAAGCUAGAAGCUCAGGUCCAGACUGUUGAACCUACAAUGGGCCAAAAGGAUAUGAGUACAGUAGUUCCAAGAAAGCCAAUAAAUGAUAAGAAGCCAGAAGAAGCUCGGAUUGGGGCUGCUGAACCUACAAUGUUAAUGAUGAAGUUCCCUCCUGAAACAACUCUGCCCUCAAUUCCUGAGCUGAAAGCAAAAUUUGUAAACUUUGGGCCUCUUCAUUCCUCCGCCACUCGUGUAUUUUGGGGCUCCUCAA
rnacentral:lncRNA from 1 species